rnacentral:rRNA from 1 species
CACAGGUGCUGCAUGGCUGUCGUCAGCUCGUGUCGUGAGAUGUUCGGUUAAGUCCGCUAACGAGCGCAACCCUCGCUGUGUGUUAUAUGUGUCACACGGGACUGCCGGUCUUAAGCCGGAGGAAGGUGGGGAUGAUGUCAAGUCAGCAUGGCCUUUAUAUCCUGGGCUACACACACGCUACAAUGGCCAACACAAUAGGUUGCUAAGCCGCGAGGUGGCGCCAAUCCAUAAAGUUGGUCUCAGUUCAGAUUGUAGGCUGCAACCCGCCUGCAUGAAGAUGGAGUUGCUAGUAACCGCAGGUCAGCUAUACUGCGGUGAAUACGUUCCCGGGCCUU